ACUACAUCGGUACUCAGAUCACUAGGUCUUCGUCGUCAGCAUGCGGUAACGGAUGAAGUAGUUCAAGCUAUACAGGAGCAAUGUGUUGACUCUUCAGCGCGAACUGGACCCGGACGGUGUUCGUAGCAGACAGAUGCACCGAAGGGCCGAAUUACCUUAUACAUGUAGAUGGCUAUGACAAACUGAAACGAUUUGGUUUUGCCAUUCACCGUGCAAUAUGCGGGCACAGUUGAUUAUAAGAUACUGGUGGGUAAUGAAGACAUCGAAGGAGUGAAAGAACUCUGUACUUCUGUUCAAGUUAAUUCUGAAGUAGUCACUGUAUUAUAACAGGAUAUGGGUGAGAAGAGGCUUAGAAAGCCAUCCACAUAUAGGGAAGCUCUGGAACUGCGGAGAACUAGUUCACUACUGGUACUAAGACAAUCUACAGAUAGCCUACACAAUGGCAUAGUAGAGCAAAAUUUGAGUGUGCUUUUUUCUGUCUCACUAUCAGGUCUACGUACAGAAAG